UCUCAGAGAUUAAGCCAUGCAUGUCUAAGUACAUACUUUAAAACGGUGAAACCGCGAAUGGCUCAUUAAAUCAGCUAUGGUUCCUUAGAUCGUACCUACUACAUGGAUAACUGUGGUAAUUCUAGAGCUAAUACAUGCCAAUAUGCCCUGACCCGCAAGGGAACGGGUGGUUUUAUUAGAACAGAACCAACUGGUUGUGACUCUGUUGCAGCCGUUGAAUCUGAUGACUCUGGAUAACUUCACUGAUCGCAGUCGGCCAUGUGUCGGCGACGGAUCUUUCAAAUGUCUGCCCUAUCAAUUUUCGAUGGUAGGCGAUCUGCCUACCAUGGUGAUAACGGGUAACGGGGAAUCAGGGUUCGAUUCCGGAGAGGGAGCCUGAGAAACGGCUACCACUUCCAAGGAAGGCAGCAGGCGCGCAAAUUACCCAAUCCCAGCACGGGGAGGUAGUGACGAAAAAUACGAAUACGGGACUCAACAGAGGCUCCGUAAUUCGAAUGAGUACAAUUUAAAUCCUUUAACGAGGAUCUACUGGAGGGCAAGUCUGGUGCCAGCAGCCG
rnacentral:rRNA from 1 species